rnacentral:rRNA from 1 species
UGGGGAAUUUUGGACAAUGGGCGAAAGCCUGAUCCAGCAAUGCCGCGUGUGUGAAGAAGGCCUUCGGGUUGUAAAGCACUUUUGUCCGGAAAGAAAUCCUUGGCUCUAAUACAGUCGGGGGAUGACGGUACCGGAAGAAUAAGCACCGGCUAACUACGUGCCAGCAGCCGCGGUAAUACGUAGGGUGCAAGCGUUAAUCGGAAUUACUGGGCGUAAAGCGUGCGCAGGCGGUUUGCUAAGACCGAUGUGAAAUCCCCGGGCUCAACCUGGGGACUGCAUUGGUGACUGGCAGGCUAGAGUAUGGCAGAGGGGGGUAGAAUUCCACGUGUAGCAGUGAAAUGCGUAGAGAUGUGGAGGAAUACCGAUGGCGAAGGCAGCCCCCUGGGCCAAUACUGACGCUCAUGCACGAAAAGCGUGGGGAGCAAAACAGGAUUAGAUACCCUGGUAGUCCACGCCCUAAAACGAUGUCAACUAGUUGUUGGGGAUUCAUUUCCUUAGUAACGUAGCUAAACGCGUGAAGUUGACCGCCUGGGGAGUACGGUCGCAAGAUUAAAACUCAAAUGAAUUGACGGGGUCAUAGCUGUUUCCU